ACAUUAAAUACCCAGCUCCUCUGCGCGAUUACAGCAGCCUCCGGAGCUCUCCCAAAUUGUCACCUAGGAUGAAUAUGACAGCAAACAAUGCUUUAAAAUGACUUUGAGUUUUAUGCAAUUUCUUGUAUAAAAGGAGAGCCUGAGUCCAUGGAAGUUGGGAUUGAACAUCCUGAAUAUGCAGUUCCUUGGAGAGCCACCAAGAAAAGACCUAAGCAAGAGACAUGAUGUCACCUUCGGGGAGGAGGCUCUUCAAGCUGUUUGGCAUGAGAAGAGGAGGAAUGAGGAGGAUCACUGGCCUUGAACCCCCAAAGAGAGGCUAGAGCACCUUUCUAGGACCCAGUCCAGGGUUUGUCUUGAACAUCCAGCUCCAAAAGAGAUGCUGUGCAGAUUCAAGCUGCCAAGUCCUGAAGGACCUGAGGGAAAACCCAACCCCAAGCAGCCCAGAUGGUAUCUGAGUAUCCUGUGCCCUACCCACGAAGAUCAGGAGCCUAAAGGCUAGAGCUCACUGCAGAACCAGACCAAAGACAGUUUAAGGGCCAUUGAGCCAAGCCUUCCUGACCUCCCAUGGAGAGGGGAAGAGAGAACAGGACC
rnacentral:lncRNA from 1 species